CAGUCGCCGCGGGAAUACGUAGGUGGCAAGCGUUGUCCGGAAUUAUUGGGCGUAAAGCGCGCGCAGGCGGCCUAUCCAGUCUGUCUUAAAAGUUCGGGGCUCAACCCCGUGAUGGGAUGGAAACUAGUAGGCUAGAGUAUCGGAGAGGAAAGCGGAAUUCCUAGUGUAGCGGUGAAAUGCGUAGAUAUUAGGAAGAACACCAGUGGCGAAGGCGGCUUUCUGGACGAAAACUGACGCUGAGGCGCGAAAGCCAGGGGAGCGAACGGGAUUAGAUACCCCUGUAGUCCCUGUCUCUUAUACA
rnacentral:rRNA from 1 species